rnacentral:lncRNA from 1 species
GCGGGGGAGGGGCGGGGGAGAAAAGGGGACUUGGCUGCCCUCCACCCAGAGGCCUGCAUGCACAUCCAGCCGACACACUGGCUCUAAUCUCUGCUCCUUUGACGCACUCAUUUUCUGGUUUUUCACAAAGGCCGACUGUGCUCCCAGCAGCUGCAGCUGCUCAGGGCCCCAGGGAGGCUGUGGGAAGGGUCGCGGGGACGCUGGCAGCUGCGGGAAAAGACUCUGAGCACCUGUCCCUCUCCUCUGGGUGCUCGCCCCUCCCCCGGCCUAUGCAUUUUCCUGCCGAGGAACUUCCAUGUGCCAUGGGUGCAGCCAUAAAGCAACAACAGCAGCAGCAGCAGCAGCAGCAGCAACAAGAACAAGAGCAUCUGCUUUCAGACAGCCACACCCAAGGCCCUCUGUGAGACAACUGGGGCGCAGAGGGCUGGACUCUCGUCCAAGAUCUGAUGACUAGUAAGUGCAGGAGACUCCCCUCCAAGAACCUGGUCCUCUUGGAAGAAGGUAGGAGGUAAUCGGACCCCAUGUGCUGUACCUGGAGGGGCAUGGUGGGGGGCUACUGCCAUUGUUCAGGGAGAGUAGAGGAAGGGCUGAAUGGAGGUGGUGGGUGGAGUGCAAGAAAGGGUGGGGAUGGUCAGAGGAAGGAGGCCUCGGACUAGACGGCUGAUUGGCUGGGAGGCAGGGGGAAGCGGAACCUAGCACGACUUGAUUGGCUGGGAGGCAGGAGGAAGCGGAACCUACCGCGACUUGGGGGUGUGGUCAAUAUGGUGCCUUUACUGAAGAGGGUUGGUGCACAGGAGGCAAAGGAGGUCUUAUGGGAAAUCUGGCAGGUGGCAGCUGUAAAAUAAAGCUCAUGCAGUUGAUGGUAACA